AGGGUUGUCGUACCUCGUGUUCA
rnacentral:miRNA from 1 species